rnacentral:rRNA from 1 species
UGGGGAAUUUUGGACAAUGGGCGCAAGCCUGAUCCAGCCAUGCCGCGUGCGGGAAGAAGGCCUUCGGGUUGUAAACCGCUUUUGUCAGGGAAGAAAAGUUCCGGGUUAAUACCCUGGGAUGCUGACGGUACCUGAAGAAUAAGCACCGGCUAACUACGUGCCAGCAGCCGCGGUAAUACGUAGGGUGCGAGCGUUAAUCGGAAUUACUGGGCGUAAAGCGUGCGCAGGCGGUUGUGCAAGACAGAUGUGAAAUCCCCGGGCUCAACCUGGGAACUGCAUUUGUGACUGCACGACUGGAGUGCGGCAGAGGGGGAUGGAAUUCCGCGUGUAGCAGUGAAAUGCGUAGAUAUGCGGAGGAACACCGAUGGCGAAGGCAAUCCCCUGGGCCUGCACUGACGCUCGUGCACGAAAGCGUGGGGAGCAAACA